GACAAAAAUAAGACAGCUUCAUGGAGGUCGAUGUAGUGACAACGGAAUUGGGAAAACAAUCUAUAAAGAUGUGGAGAAUCAUGGGAAUGAAGGCUAUUCAGAACUUGUCCAGCUUUGAUAUUAAUUUAACAACUGACACUAAUUAAUGCUUAAGUAUUAUCAUUAAGAUUAUUAUUAGAAUUAUUGUUAUUAUUAUUGUUAUUAUUAAUUAAUACUUUAUUUGUAUUUUGAGACAACAAAAGGAAAUGGACUCUGAAAUAGAAAUGGUAGUACAUCUACCGAUAUCAGCUUAUUGCAGAUAUAUCAGUAUCGGUGUGUUUGUCAGGCGAUAGCUACUGUAAGUAACAAGAAAUUGCAGUACAGAAAUUCCAAAGUAGGUUUGAGCUAAUUUAGUGUCUCCAUAAUAAUGUCAUAAUAAUUUGUCCACCAGAGAGAACUAAUCUGAACUGAAUUGGAUUUUUCAACUGCAAAGUAUCUGGCCACCAGUGCAUCCUACCAAAGAAAAAUGAAUAGUUACAGUAUACAAUAGUUUUGAGACAUUUUCAGUUAAAUUCCUGUUUUGUUACAUGUCAUGUGUCGUGGAAAUUGUAUCUUGCUGGUGAGAGAUUAAGCAAAUAAUUGAGUAACAACUGUUACUGAAAAGUAACCGUUGUCUGCAAAGUAUGUCUCUUGAUCAUAUUUUAACAUUUUUUUCAUCAUUUCAUGGUACAUGUUUAGGCCUAUUUUAAAAGAAAAUUGCUUUAUUUAAUGGGUGAUAUAUAGUUAUUGGAUAUCGACAUCAGCAUUGUCCUCAAACAUCCAGUAUCGGUUGAUAUUCAAACAACAUGCAAAGAACAUAAUCACUUGAGGAUACAAACAUCAUUAACAUCAUUGAUAAUUUAUUAAAGAAGAGGACAAUACUCAAGACAAGACUCCUACCUAAAGAACUGAAGAAGAAUGAAAUUUAAAUGAAGAUGAAGAUAUACUUUUAUUAAUCCCGCAGGGGGAAAUUCAAUGUUUUCACUCUGUUAUUAUUGUUAGUAUUCACACACAGGUCCGAAACACAUGCACAAACAAGAUCCAUAGCAACACAUGGAGAGAGUGAGGGGGCUGCCACUCAGUGAGCAAACUAGGGGUUCAGGGGUUUGCUCAAGGCCACCUUUGGCAGUCUCCAGGAGGUGAACUGAACCCAGCCUAAUCCUAACGAACUGAGCUACUGCCGCCCCCAGGUUUGUGGGACAACAGGGAGACCGGGCACGGUUGUAACAUGGGGAGAGUUGUAACAACACCAAUUCCAUCAAUUAAAGAUAAGAUAGGAUUUAGGUGAUCAUUUCAUUUUUUACCUUCUUCCUCCCCAAUCCGACAUGGUGGUUAUCAAGUCUGGAAACAGGUACAUUCAGAAUAUAUAGAGAAAAAAAUGAUUUUGAGGUAAGAAAGUAAAUUUUUUGACCAAGACUAUUUUCUUUAGUAUCUAUACUAUACAGAUAAAAUUGUAUGUUUUUUAACUCUUACUGCGUACCGGUGAGUACCGGCCCACUUAAAGCACUGACUGUGAGUCUGAUUAAGAAUAUACACACAUUGACAAACAUAGACACACACCUCUUUCUUGAUAGAAGGAUAGAAGGAUGUACAAAGAUAUUCUUAAAGUAUAUUUUAGUAGUAUUUAUAACUGAACAAGUUUAUUCUAUAGAUUAAUUUACAUACACAUACUGUACAUGCGCGCGAGUCAUCAGACAUAGUCCGUUGUGUGAGAGAGAAACAUAGUUCUUUUAUAUAACUACAUGUUUUUGAAGCAUAUCAUGGUGUGGCUUCUACUUUUGCUUCUUUUGUCUUAUUGUUACAACUUACCCCAGCAUGCAGUGGCGCCACCAGAAACUUUGGGCCCCAUGCCAAAAAAUCUAAUUGGGCCCCCUUUGUGCAGCUGUCGUCACCACAUCUCUAGGACCUAACUGUCCCAUCAAAAGCAUUACAUAACUCUAAUUAAAGGCUUGCAACUGUCUUUCUUCUUGUAGUUCAAUACUAGUACUAACACAAUACUGGUGAUUUGUACAUGUAAGUCUACAUACAGUAGGGGAGAGCCAGGACGAUUGAAACACUUUUCAAAUAUAUCAUCAUUUCAAUCGUCAUUUUAAAAUAUAAUGCUACAGACAACUUCACUAGUUUCUAAACUGUAAAACUUCAGGAUGUGUUGAAGUACUAACUAAUCUUUCAUGUGAUCAUGACCAUGGCACAUGGAACAAUAAACACAACUCCUCAUUCAAAAAAAAAGAUUGCUUCAGUGAAUUUACUUUCCGUGAUUGAAAACAGCUUCUUUCGUAUAACUCCGUAAAAGUGUGACGUAUCCACCUGAUUUUCCCCGGUUCUGUUAAGUACUGAGGACUGUAUGUGCUGAGGUAAUUUGGCAUGUCAGACUUGUAUGGGCUCUGAGAAAAUCGCUGUGUUUCAUUCGUCCCGCGUUUCAAUCGUCCCGGCUCUCUCCUAUGCAGUUCACUAUUUGAUUUAAGGUUAAAAGCCACCAUAAAAACGUCCUUAAGGCAAUCUUUUACAGUCUCAAUGUAUUUUUAUAGUAAAAUUAACUAUCUAUAGAAGUCAUUUAACAGCCAUAAUUAAAUCUAAAUGUAUCAAACUGGAUUAUUUUAAUAUUGUCUGUAAAUUACAUGCAGGCUGAGGUAAUCUACUCACUGUUUCCAACAAAUGUUUCCCUGCACUGAUUGAAUGUUGAUGAAAUGUAGGCUAACACUUGUCUGCAGCUAGCUUAUUUCACUGCUGACAUUAAGCCAGCAGGUUAACACCACUCACAGCCUUUUAUUAUACCCACCUUUCUUGGUGAAAAACUGGGUUCCAGAGUGACAUCCUUUCCUUUGUCUUUUCUCUCUUUCCUUUUUUGAAAACCAGGUUUUGGUUUACUAUGCAACAUUGUGAUCACUGUAUUUCUGGCGUAUCUACUAAUUGCAACUAAACAUCACCACCUUUUUACAUACAGUCUAUGACCGUCACUGAUACAGCGCGCUAAGGCAGGACCAAACCAUUUCAUGCAGAUAUGGGAGGUGGUCUGUCAAUAUGGAUGUUGACUUUUUGGUCAAUGGGGAUAUUUAACUUCUAUUGCCAAAAACAAAGAUAUCAUUAAUUGUAUUAUUAUAUUUAAAAUACUCAUUGAUGAUGGUUUAUAUAAAUAUAAUUUGAUGUUAGUUUUUACCUAUUUUUUGGGAAUUGUCCUAACUUUCCCCCCCCUAUAUGGUGGCGCCCCUGCCAGCAUGUGUUACAACCUACCCUGGUAUUGGGGUAGGUUGUAACAAGGGAACACAAUGCAUUUGACAUCAACUCAGGAGGUCUGUGAUAUUCUUGUAGAGGAUUGAAUUGGUGCCAUUUGCAGUGAACAAAUCUUACCGGCACCAGCGACAACGACUUUGGCAUCACAGCAGGAGAAGCAGUGCAGCAAAGAUUUGGAUCUGAUGUUGUAGUUCAGCAAAGAAGCUAUGCAUCCCAGCUUGGCCAGUGCCAGCCAGAGCCACACAAACUGCGGUUCGUUGCCCAGGAAGAGAGCCACUGUGUCUCCCUCCUUCAGGUGGGCAUGCGUGGAGAGAGCUCUGGCCACUCUGUUGCUUUCGUGGUCAGCUUGGCAGACAAGCUCUCCCAGCUGAGUGAUUCCACUUGCAAAUGGAUCACAGACUUCCUGUCUGACAGGAGGCAGCAUGUGAGGCUAGGAAACAUGUCUCUGACUCCCAGACUAUCAGGAACCUGGAGCUCAAUGUUCUUAAGACAAUAGAGAUGGUUGUGGAUUGCAGAAUGAGCCCAGCUCCACCCACAUCACCCAGGUGACACUGUGGAGUCCAUCCACUUGGGAACAUCAGCUCCCUCACUAAGAAAGCCCAGCAGAGGAUUUUUACUUCCGCUUCAGACACUCCCCUACGCCAGAAGGCUACAGUCCACGACCCCCACUGACAUGCCCCCCUAACCCAAUCCUUACAAUACAGGACACUUAUACUGUAAACUCUUGAACAUGUAAAUCCCAUGUAAAUAUUUUGAACAUCCCUGCACAAACUGUAAUUUAACUAACAGCCAUACAGUACAUAAUAAUUCUUUCAGAUCUUAUCUUAUUGUCUGUUUUAUAUUUAGGAUUCUUGACCCUUUAGUACAUGCUUUAUCGUUUUCUUUCUUUAUAUUUUUUACUUAAAGAAAUGGUUUUCUAGUUUGCUGGCCCACACAGAGCCUUGACCUCAAUCUCAUCCAACACCUUGGGGAUGAACUGGAAUGUCAACUGUGAGCCAGGCCUUGCUACUAAUGCUAAAAAUCAUUAAUGCCAGAGAGGCUGAAUAGGAGAAAAUCCCUGGGUGUAAUUUUCAGGUGUCCACAUUAAUUUGUUUAAUAUUUUUGUCGAUGUAGUGUAUAUGUAUAUCCAAACUACACUGAAGACUGAGACAAGCGUGUGCAUUUGUCUCCACCUUGUGGUUUGUCCAUGUCUAUCAAACCUAGAAUAUUUCUUUUUAUUGUUGUCACUAUGAUGAGUAAAAUCAGGACAUACACAUGAAAACUACUUCUGGUUACAGUAACAAUCACUUUAAUUUUCAGAACAGUAAUUCAUAUUUACAGAUGUUGGCACAUAAACAUAAAAAUCAUGUUAA